rnacentral:rRNA from 1 species
ACAGAGUUCUUCGUUGAAGACUUUGAGUUCCUGCCCAGGACCAUAUAUCACAUCAUCCGGCGGACUCUCUCGCCUAUUAAAGGGCACUCUCCAAAUGCCAAGAUCGAAGGUGCAAUGAAGACUAUGAUAUUCUGUAUCCUUCAUGGCAAAUGGUUCAAAGCACAGGAUUUCUUCAUACACCAACUUGUAGCGUCAGGCUCAGAUUUAUUUGGUUUGAAGUUCUAUGCUCCUUGGGUGAUGAGGCUGAUCAAACUGCACUCUGCGAUCUCGUAUCGGCCCUCAGCUCGAAACCAUCGGAUCUUCUUGCCAGAUGUGGACACCUCCUCUAAA